rnacentral:SRP_RNA from 1 species
GGUCGGACCCUGUGCGACCGGAGCCCGUGAACCGAGUCAGGACCGGAAGGUAGCAGCUCUCAGCGGACACUCUGGUGCGCCGCAGAUCGUCUGGCCACC